rnacentral:rRNA from 1 species
AUUGAACGCUGGCGGCAGGCUUAACACAUGCAAGUCGAGCGGGGAAAGGUAGCUUGCUACCUAACCUAGCGGCGGACGGGUGAGUAAUGCUUAGGAAUCUGCCUAUUAGUGGGGGACAACAUUCCGAAAGGAAUGCUAAUACCGCAUACGCCCUACGGGGGAAAGCAGGGGAUCUUCGGACCUUGCGCUAAUAGAUGAGCCUAAGUCAGAUUAGCUAGUUGGUGGGGUAAAGGCCUACCAAGGCGACGAUCUGUAGCGGGUCUGAGAGGAUGAUCCGCCACACUGGGACUGAGACACGGCCCAGACUCCUACGGGAGGCAGCAGUGGGGAAUAUUGGACAAUGGGCGAAAGCCUGAUCCAGCCAUGCCGCGUGUGUGAAGAAGGCCUUUUGGUUGUAAAGCACUUUAAGCGAGGAGGAGGCUACUUGGAUUAAUACUCUAGGAUAGUGGACGUUACUCGCAGAAUAAGCACCGGCUAACUCUGUGCCAGCAGCCGCGGUAAUACAGAGGGUGCGAGCGUUAAU